rnacentral:lncRNA from 1 species
CACUCUGUCAGCUAUCACCUAACUUGCGUGCAAUUGGAGAGGGGAGGGUAUUGCAAAACAAAGUUUGUAAAUCCGUGUACUCUGUCUUUUAGAAUUUGCUACCCUCAGGGUGGCUAUGUGGUCCUGUUGGUUAUCUAAUAUUCAGAGAAAUAGACUGAAAGAGCCUCCUCAGAAUGGAUCCUGGAAUCUGCAGAGGGAAUGUUUGGUUCCUUCAAGGCACUGAAACAACUACCUCUCUCUGCUCCUGUAUCUCCCUGUACAGAGGAAAUGAAACUAUAAGCUCUUUCUCAAGAAAUUACUUGAAACAAGGAGCCUACCCUUUAAGUUGUCGGGGUCUGAAGUCACCUGCAUUCCAGAUGUCUGGAGAAUGUGACUUUUCUGGUGAGUUUGCAAAUCCUAGAUUGGAUGUGAUUGUUAAUGAAUUGUACAUCGCCUUGAUUCUAUUUAGUUGCCAUUGUUUUUACGAGAUGUUCUUCCCCUUGACGCUGUUUAUUGCCAUUGUUCUUGUCUGUCCGUCUCCCCCGAUUAGACUGUAAGCCCGUCAAACGGCAGGGACUGUCUCUAUCUGUUGCCGACUUGUUCAUCCC